UACGUAGGGGGCAAGCGUUGUCCGGAAUCAUUGGGCGUAAAGCGCGUGUAGGCGGCUUGGUAAGUCCGCUCUGAAAGCCCGGGGCUCAACCCCGGGAGGCGGGUGGAUACUGGGUAUCUCGAGUCCGAGAGAGGUGAGUGGAAUUCCGAGUGUAGAGGUGAAAUUCGUAGAUAUUCGGAGGAACACCAGUGGCGAAGGCGGCUCACUGGCUCGGUACUGACGCUGAGGUGCGAAAGCGUGGGGAGCAAACAGG
rnacentral:rRNA from 1 species